UUGGUUUACAGGAGGUGCUAGCCGUGUACCUACAACAGUACCCUGACAGUGCCAUAGCCCUAAAUCUAAAGGCCUGUAAUCACUUCAGGCUCUACAAUGGAAAGGCCGCAGAGGCCGAGUUAAAGAGUCUACAAGAAAUGUCAACGCCAUCAUUUGUGUUCGCGAGAGAUCUCAUCAAACAUAACAUGGUUGUAUUCCGUGGAGGAGAAGGGUCCUUACAAGUACUGCCCCCUCUGAUAGAUGUCAUUCCAGAGGCUCGACUCAACCUGGUUAUCUAUCAUCUGAAACAA